rnacentral:rRNA from 1 species
CAGACAACCAGGAGGUUGGCUUAGAAGCAGCCAUCCUUUAAAGAUAGCGUAACAGCUCACUGGUCUAGUGAUUCUGCGCGGAAAAUAUAACGGGGCUAAGUUGUACACCGAAGCUGUAGAUUUGAAAUUUAUUUCAAGUGGUAGGAGAGCGUUCGUAUCAGCGUUGAAGGUAUACCGGUAAGGAGUGCUGGAGCGAUACGAAGUGAGCAUGCAGGCAUGAGUAGCGAUAAAACAUGUGAGAAUCAUGUUCGCCGUAAACCCAAGGUUUCCUACGCUAUGAUCGUCAUCGUAGGGUUAGUCAGGUCCUAAGUCGAGUCCGAAAGGGGUAGAUGAUGGCAAAUCGGUUAAUAUUCCGAUACUAACAAAUAAGCGCGAUGGGGGGACGCAUAGGGCUAUAGGAGCUAACUGAUGGAAUAGUUAGUCGAAGGAUGUAGAUUGUUGUUCAGGCAAAUCCGAGCAACGUUAGAUCGAGAUCUUACAGGCUCUUCAAGGUUUUCGGACUGCGAAGAGAAUCCUUGAUGCCGUCGUGCCAAGAAAAGCCUCUAAGUUUAUUAUUUGUUACCUGUACCGUAAACCGACACAGGUGGGUGGGAUGAGUAUUCUAAGGCGCGUGGAAGAACCCUGGUUAAGGAACUCUGCAAACUAACACCGUAUCUUCGGUAUAAGGUGUGCCUUCCGUGUGUAAGGGCUUGCCCCUGAAGCAUUAUAAGGUUGCAACAAAGAGUCCCUCCCGACUGUUUACCAAAAACACAGCACUAUGCUAACACGAAAGUGGAUGUAUAUGGUGUGACGCCUGCCCGGUGCUGGAAGGUUAAUUGAUGGUGUCAGAGCAAUCGAAGCACUUGAUCGAAGCCCCAGUAAACGGCGGCCGUAACUAUAACGGUCCUAAGGUAGCGAAAUUCCUUGUCGGUUAAAUACUGACCUGCAUGAAUGGCGUAACGAGAUGGGAGCUGUCUCAACCAGGGAUCCAGUGAAAUUAUAGUGGAGGUGAAAAUUCCUCCUACCCGCGGAAAGACGGAAAGACCCCGUGCACC